AAUCAAGGUGGGAAUCGAUCCAAGAAGGAGAUGUUUAGGAGUAAAUUGAAAAGAAAGGAGCAUGCAGAUGCUAAUAAUGAUCUGGACAAAUACUUGAGUGAUGGAAUUGAGGAUGAAUCUCCAAACUUUGAUGUAUUGGUUUGGUGGAAAGGGAAGUAUGCAACCUACCAUGCACUUGCGAUAAUGGCACGAGAUGUUUUAUCAAUUCCAGUGACAUCUGUUGCUUCAGAAUCUGCUUUUAGUACAGCUGGAAGAGUUCUUGACCCAUUUCGAAGUUCCUUAACACCAAAUAUCGAGAGUGUGAGAGUGUUGAAGAACAACUUGAAGAGCUUGAGGAAAUUGAAAUUAUUGUAAGCCAAGAGAUGGAAAAUCUAUCACGUCAAUGAAUGGAACUAAAUAUGAAGCUUCUUUUAUUGACAAAUUAUUUCAAGGAAUUGGAGAUGGUGUACUUUUUAAUUUAGAGAGGUAAAAGAAGAGGCGCAGCAACUUGCUAUUAUUUUUGAAACUGUUGGAGGUUUCAAGGUGAAGCGCAAAGGUGGAAAAGGAAAGCUAAUUUUUGGAAGUGUGACCCCGCAAGAUCUCGUUGACAUAAUCAAGGCACAACUCAACAGGUUGGCAUGUUCGUGACUUCAGCAAUGGUGUUGCGAAAAAUGAUGUUAGCUUAUUUCCAGUGAUGAGUUGAUUUUGUAUGUUAUGGAUCUAUGUUAAAUGUUGUACUUGUAGUUUUCAUUUUCUAUUUUUAUUGUGGACUAUUUUAAAUUUGAACAUUAUGUCAUUUGAAUGUAAACAUUGGAAUUCUUCUGGAAA